AUGUCUGGAAACCGGAGAGUGUCACAGUUUGUGCUAGCAACAUCCCAGCUUCCUGGCGAGCCUGAAGGCACCUUUCUGGCACUAGAGGCAAAGUGUGUGAAGGUCUCCGAAUCUGUAAACCUUUGCCUGAGCGGCCUUCUGUCGAUUGAAGGUGGAUUAAAUGUCCCUCUUACUGUCAGGCUACUAUCAGGAAAGGAAGUUGGCGGUAUCAUGGGAGAGAAAGGAGACUCUGUUAAGAAGAUGUGCGAGGAGAGUGGUGUACGGAUCCACAUCUCAGAAGGGAACUGUCCUGAGAGAAUUAUCACUUUGACUGGACCGACUAAAGCCAUCUUCAAAGCCUUCGCUAUGGUCAUUGAUAAACUGGGAGAGAACGUAAGCAGCUCUGUGACCAAUAGUACAGCUGCCAACAGACCCCCAGUCACCUGACGGCUUGGGGUCCCUGCGAGUCAGUGUGGCUCUCUCAUUGGCAAAGGGGGUUGUGAGAUCAAGGAAAUAGGAGACAGAACAGGAACUCAGGUCCAGGUGACAGGGGAUGUGCUCUGCAACUCAACCGAGCGGGCAAUCACUACUGUGGCAUUCCACAAUCCAUCACUGAGUGUGUCAAACAGUUCUCCAUGGUCAUGGUGGAGUCCCCCCAAAGGGCGUGGCCAUCCCCCACCAGCCCAGUCAUCUUUGCAGGUGGUCAGGCCUAUACCAUUCAAGGAAAGUACGCCAUUCCCCAGCCAGACUUGACCAAGCUGCACCAGUUGGCAAUGCAACAGUUUCAUUUUCCCAUGACCCAUGGCAACUGGAUUCAGUGGCAUUGGAUCCAGCUCUCCAGUGGUGAAUGGCUAUUGGGCAGGUUUGGAUGCAUCUGCUCAAACUACUUCUCAUGAACUCACCAUUCCAAAUGAUUUGAUUGGCUGCAUAAUUGGGUGUCAGGAUGUUCAAAUCAGUGUGAUCUGUCAGAUGUCUAGGGCGCAGAUCAAAAUUGCAAACCUAGUGGAAGGAUCUACCGAUAGGCAGGUCACCAUCCAUCACUAGUCCUGCUGCCAAAUCAGCCUGGCUCAGUAUCUAAUCAAUGUCAGGCUUUCCUCGGAGACAGGUGUUGUGGGGAGCAACUAG